GACAGAGGAUGCAAGCGUUAUCCGGAAUGAUUGGGCGUAAAGCGUCUGUAGGUGGCUUUUCAAGUCCGCCGUCAAAUCCCAGGGCUCAACCCUGGACAGGCGGUGGAAACUACCAAGCUGGAGUACGGUAGGGGCAGAGGGAAUUUCCGGUGGAGCGGUGAAAUGCGUAGAUAUCGGAAGGAACACCGGUGGCGAAAGCGGCGCGCUGGACCUCUUCUGACGCUGAGGCGCGAAAGCCAGGGGAGCAAAGCGGGAU
rnacentral:rRNA from 1 species